rfam:Candidimonas bauzanensis strain CGMCC 1.10190 genome assembly, contig: Ga0070552_108
GUUCACUGCCGUGCAGGCAGUUAAGAAA